GCACAAGCGGUGGAUGAUGUGGUUUAAUCGAUGCAACGCGAAAACCUUACCACCUUUGACAUGUACGGAAUCCUUUAGAGAUAGAGGAGUGCUCGAAAGAGAGCCGUAACACAGGUGCUGCAUGGCUGUCGUCAGCUCGUGUCGUGAGAUGUUGGGUUAAGUCCCGCAACGAGCGCAACCCUUGUCAUUAGUUGCUACAUUCAGUUGGGCACUCUAAUGAGACUGCCGGUGACAAACCGGAGGAAGGUGGGGAUGACGUCAAGUCCUCAUGGCCCUUAUAGGUGGGGCUACACACGUCAUACAAUGGAUGGUACAAAGGGUCGCCAACCCGCGAGGGGGAGCCAAUCCCAUAAAGCCAUUCGUAGUCCGGAUCGCAGUCUGCAACUCGACUGCGUGAAGUCGGAAUCGCUAGUAAUCGUGGAUCAGAAUGUCACGGUGAAUACGUUCCCGGGUCUU
rnacentral:rRNA from 1 species